rnacentral:rRNA from 1 species
UACGUAGGGUGCAAGCGUUAAUCGGAAUUACUGGGCGUAAAGCGUGCGCAGGCGGUUGUGCAAGACAGAUGUAAAUCCCCGGGCUUAACCUGGGAAUUGCAUUUGUGACUGCACGGCUAGAGUGUGUCAGAGGGGGGUAGAAUUCCACGUGUAGCAGUGAAAUGCGUAGAUAUGUGGAGGAAUACCGAUGGCGAAGGCAAUCCCCUGG